GAUGAAGAACGCAGCAAAAUGCGAUAAGUAAUGUGAAUUGCAGUAUUCAGUGAAUCAUCGAAUCUUUGAACGCACAUUGCGCCCGCCAGUAUUCUGGCGGGCAUGCCUGUUCGAGCGUCAUUUCAACCCUCAAGCACAGCUUGGUGUUGGGACUCGCGUUAAUUCGCGUUCCCCAAAUUGAUUGGCGGUCACGUCGAGCUUCCAUAGCGUAGUAGUAAAACCCUCGUUACUGGUAAUCGUCGCGGCCACGCCGUUAAACCCCAACUUCUGAAUGUUGACCUCGGAUCAGGUAGGAAUACCCGCUGAACUUAAGCAUAUCAAUAAGCGGAGGA
rnacentral:misc_RNA from 1 species